CCUGCCCCUAGAGACUCUAGAGUUGCUGCUAUGUCACAUGUUUGUCAGCAGGUGGCAGAGAGGAGACAGGCUCGCCAUCUGAAUGAUUAGUAAACUUACAUU
ensembl:snoRNA Gm24751 predicted gene, 24751